UACGGGGGGGGCAAGCGUUGUUCGGAAUUACUGGGCGUAAAGGGUGCGUAGGCGGUCCGCUAAGUUGGAUGUGAAAUCCUGGAGCUCAACUCCAGAACUGCCUUUGAUACUGGCGAUCUUGAGUCCGGGAGAGGUGAGUGGAACUCCGAGUGUAGAGGUGAAAUUCGUAGAUAUUCGGAAGAACACCAGUGGCGAAGGCGGCUCACUGGCCCGGUACUGACGCUGAGGUGCGAAAGCGUGGGGAGCAAACAGG
rnacentral:rRNA from 1 species